rnacentral:rRNA from 1 species
UGCAGUCGAACGGAAAGGCCCACCACCUUGGUGGUGGGUACUCGAGUGGCGAACGGGUGAGUAACACGUGGGUGAUCUGCCCCGCACUGUGGGAUAAGCCUGGGAAACUGGGUCUAAUACCACAUACGACCAUGGCGUAGGGGUCAUGGUGGAAAGCCUUGUGCGGUGUGGGAUGAGCCCGCGGCCUAUCAGCUUGUUGGUGGGGUAAUGGCCUACCAAGGCGGCGACGGGUAGCCGGCCUGAGAGGGUGGACGGCCACAUUGGGACUGAGACACGGCCCAGACUCCUACGGGAGGCAGCAGUGGGGAAUAUUGCACAAUGGGCGCAAGCCUGAUGCAGCGACGCCGCGUGGGGGAUGGAAGGCCUUCGGGUUGUAAACUCCUUUCGCCCGGGACGAAGCCCACCUGGUGGGUGACGGUACCGUGGAGAAGAAGCACCGGCUAACUACGUGCCAGCAGCCGCGGUAAUACGUAGGGUGCAAGCGUUGUCCGGAUUUACUGGGCGUAAAGAGCUCGUAGGUGGUGUGUCGCGUCGUCUGUGAAAUUCCGGGGCUUAACUCCGGGCGUGCAGGCGAUACGGGCACGACUAGAGUGCUGUAGGGGUAACUGGAAUUCCUGGUGUAGCGGUGAAAUGCGCAGAUAUCAGGAGGAACACCGAUGGCGAAGGCAGGUUACUGGGCAGUUACUGACGCUGAGGAGCGAAAGCAUGGGGAGCGAACAGGAUUAGAUACCCUGGUAGUCCAUGCUGUAAACGGUGGGCGCUAGGUGUGGGCUGUGUGUUUGCAGUCUGUGCCGUAGCUAACGCAUUAAGCGCCCCGCCUGGGGAGUACGGCCGCAAGGCUAAAACUCAAAGGAAUUGACGGGGCCCGCACAAGCGGCGGAGCAUGUGGAUUAAUUCGAUGCAACGCGAAGAACCUUACCUGGGUUUGACAUGCACCAGAUCGGCGUAGAGAUACGUCCUCCCUUGUGGUUGGUGCACAGGUGGUGCAUGGUUGUCGUCAG